rnacentral:rRNA from 1 species
UACGAAGGGGGCGAGCGUUGUUCGGAUUUACUGGGCGUAAAGGGCGCGCAGGCGGCUCAUUUUGUCAGGCGUGAAAGCCCCGGGCUUAACCUGGGAACUGCGUUUGAUACGGAUGGGCUAGAGUUCGGGAGAGGAGAGUGGAAUUCCCAGUGUAGAGGUGAAAUUCGUAGAUAUUGGGGAAGAACACCGGUGGCGAAGGCGGGUCUCUGGGCCGUAACUGACGCUGAGGAGCGAAAGCAUGGGGAGCGAACAGG